GCGCAGCUUUGGCAGCACAUAUACUAAAAUUAGAAUGAAACAGAGAUUAGGACUGCUCCUGCACAAAGAUGACACGCAAAUUGAUGAAGCUUUCCAUACUUUU
rnacentral:snRNA from 1 species